CGCCGCGUGAGGGAUGACGGCCUUCGGGUUGUAAACCUCUUUCAGCAGGGAAGAAGCGAGAGUGACGGUACCUGCAGAAGAAGCGCCGGCUAACUACGUGCCAGCAGCCGCGGUAAUACGUAGGGCGCAAGCGUUGUCCGGAAUUAUUGGGCGUAAAGAGCUCGUAGGCGGCUUGUCGCGUCGGUUGUGAAAGCCCGGGGCUUAACCCCGGGUCUGCAGUCGAUACGGGCAGGCUAGAGUUCGGUAGGGGAGAUCGGAAUUCCUGGUGUAGCGGUGAAAUGCGCAGAUAUCAGGAGGAACACCCGGUGGCGAAGGCGGAUCUCUGGGCCGAUACUGACGCUGAGGAGCGAAAGCGUGGGGAGCGAACAGGAUUAGAUACCCUGGUAGUCCAAGGG
rnacentral:rRNA from 1 species